GCCCUGCUUGAAAAAAAAGAAAAGGCGAAAUUAGACAUACACAAAGGUCUUAACAGAAAACAUACCUGGGAAUCCUCAAUCUGCGUCGCGCCCUGCUAGAAAAAAAGAAAAGGCGCAAUUAGACAUACACAAAGGUCUUAACAGAAAACAUACCUGAGAAUCCUCAAUCUGCGUCGCGCCCUGCUAGAAAAAAAGAAAAGGCGAAAUUAGACAUACACAAAGGUCUUAACAGAAAACAUACCUGAGAAUCCUCAAUCUGCGUCGCGUCCUGCUGGAAAAAAAAAGAAAAGGUGACAUUAGACAUACACAAAGGUCUUAACAGAAAACAUACCUGGGAAUCCUCAAUCUGCGUCGCGCCCUGCUAGAAAAAAAGAAAAGGCGAAAUUAGACAUACACAAAGGUCUUAACGGAAAACAUACCUGGGAAUCCUCAAUCUGCGUCGCACCCUGCUAGAAAAAAAGAAAAGGCGAAAUUAGACAUACACAAAGGUCUUAACAGAAAACAUACCUGAAAAUCCUCAAUCUGCGUCGCCCCCUGCUAGAAAAAAAGAAAAGGCGACAUUAGACAUACACAAAGGCUUUAACAGAAAACAUACCUUCGAAUCUUCAAUCUGCGUCGCGCCCUGCUAGAAAAAAGAAAAAGGCGCAAUUAGACAUACACAAAGGUCUUAACAGAAAACAUACCUGGGAAUCCUCAAUCUGCGUCGCGCCCUGCUAGAAAAAAAAAAAGGCGCAAUUAGACAUACACAAAGGUCUUAACAGAAAACAUACCUGGGAAUCCUCAAUCUGCGUCGCGCCCUGCUAGAAAAAAAGAAAAGGCGCAAUUAGACAUACACAAAGGUCUUAACAGAAAACAUACCUGGGAAUCCUCAAUCUGCGUCGCGCCCUGCUAGAAAAAAAGAAAAGGCGCAAUUAGACAUACACAAAGGUCUUAACAGAAAACAUACCUGGGAAUCCUCAAUCUGCGUCGCGCCCUGCUAGAAAAAAAGAAAAGGCGCAAUUAGACAUACACAAAGGUCUUAACAGAAAACAUACCUGGGAAUCCUCAAUCUGCGUCGCGCCCUGCUAGAAAAAAAGAAAAGGCGAAAUUAGACAUACACAAAGGUCUUAACAGAAAACAUACCUGGGAAUCCUCAAUCUGCGUCGCGCCCUGCUAGAAAAAAAGAAAAGGCGAAAUUAGACAUACACAAAGGUCUUAACAGAAAACAUACCUGAGAAUCCUCAAUCUGCGUCGCGCCCUGCUAGAAAAAAAGAAAAGGCGACAUUAGACAUACACAAAGGCCUUAACAGAAAACAUACCUGAAUCUUCAAUCUGCGUCGCGCUGCUAGGCCACGACCUAAAGGAAAAAAAAGGAACCAUUAGACAUACACAAAGGCCUUAACAGAAAACAUACCUGGCAAAUCUCCAAUCUGCGUCGCGCCCUGCCAGAAUAAAAGAAAAGACAACAUUAGACAUACACAAAGGUCUUAACAGAAAACAUACCUGGGAAUCCUCAAUCUGCGUCGCGCCCUGCUAGAAAAAAAGAAAAGGCGCAAUUAGACAUACACAAAGGUCUUAACAGAAAACAUACCUGGGAAUCCUCAAUCUGCGUCGCGCCCUGCAAAAAAAAAAAAAAGUCCACACGACCUAAAGGAAAAAAAAAGGAACCAUUAGACAUACACAAAGGUCUUAACAGAAAACAUACCUGGGAAUCCUCAAUCUGCGUCGCGCCCUGCUAGAAAAAAAGAAAAGGCGCAAUUAGACAUACACAAAGGUCUUAACAGAAAACAUACCUGGAAAAUCCUCAAUCUGCGUCGCGCCCUGCUAGAAAAAAAGAAAAGGCGCAAUUAGACAUACACAAAGGUCUUAACAGAAAACAUACCUGGGAAA
rnacentral:lncRNA from 1 species